rnacentral:rRNA from 1 species
GAAUAGCUCUUGGAAACGGGUGGUAAUGCUGGAUGCUCCAACUUGACGCAUGUCUUGUUGGGAAAGNGUUAGUGGCAUGGGAUGGGGGUCGCGUCCUAUCAGCUUGUAGGCGGGGUAAUGGCCCACCUAGGCUUCGACGGGUAGCCGGCCUGAGAGGGCGGACGGCCACAUUGGGACUGAGAUACGGCCCAGACUCCUACGGGAGGCAGCAGAG